CGGGACACGUGGUAUCCUGUCUGAAUAUGGGGGGACCAUCCUCCAAGGCUAAAUACUCCUGACUGACCGAUAGUGAACCAGUACCGUGAGGGAAAGGCGAAAAGAACCCCGGCGAGGGGAGUGAAAAAGAACCUGAAACCGUGUACGUACAAGCAGUGGGAGCACGCUUAGGCGUGUGACUGCGUACCUUUUGUAUAAUGGGUCAGCGACUUAUAUUCUGUAGCAAGGUUAACCGAAUAGGGGAGCCGAAGGGAAACCGAGUCUUAACUGGGCGUUAAGUUGCAGGGUAUAGACCCGAAACCCGGUGAUCUAGCCAUGGGCAGGUUGAAGGUUGGGUAACACUAACUGGAGGACCGAACCGACUAAUGUUGAAAAAUUAGCGGAUGACUUGUGGCUGGGGGUGAAAGGCCAAUCAAACCGGGAGAUAGCUGGUUCUCCCCGAAAGCUAUUUAGGUAGCGCCUCGUGAAUUCAUCUCCGGGGGUAGAGCACUGUUUCGGCAAGGGGGUCAUCCCGACUUACCAACCCGAUGCAAACUGCGAAUACCGGAGAAUGUUAUCACGGGAGACACACGGCGGGUGCUAACGUCCGUCGUGAAGAGGGAAACAACCCAGACCGCCAGCUAAGGUCCCAAAGUCAUGGUUAAGUGGGAAACGAUGUGGGAAGGCCCAGACAGCCAGGAUGUUGGCUUAGAAGCAGCCAUCAUUUAAAGAAAGCGUAAUAGCUCACUGGUCGAGUCGGCCUGCGCGGAAGAUGUAACGGGGCUAAACCAUGCACCGAAGCUGCGGCAGCGACGCUUAUGCGUUGUUGGGUAGGGGAGCGUUCUGUAAGCCUGUGAAGGUGUGCUGUGAGGCAUGCUGGAGGUAUCAGAAGUGCGAAUGCUGACAUAAGUAACGAUAAAGCGGGUGAAAAGCCCGCUCGCCGGAAGACCAAGGGUUCCUGUCCAACGUUAAUCGGGGCAGGGUGAGUCGACCCCUAAGGCGAGGCCGAAAGGCGUAGUCGAUGGGAAACAGGUUAAUAUUCCUGUACUUGGUGUUACUGCGAAGGGGGGACGGAGAAGGCUAUGUUGGCCGGGCGACGGUUGUCCCGGUUUAAGCGUGUAGGCUGGUUUUCCAGGCAAAUCCGGAAAAUCAAGGCUGAGGCGUGAUGACGAGGCACUACGGUGCUGAAGCAACAAAUGCCCUGCUUCCAGGAAAAGCCUCUAAGCAUCAGGUAACAUCAAAUCGUACCCCAAACCGACACAGGUGGUCAGGUAGAGAAUACCAAGGCGCUUGAGAGAACUCGGGUGAAGGAACUAGGCAAAAUGGUGCCGUAACUUCGGGAGAAGGCACGCUGAUAUGUAGGUGAAGUCCCUCGCGGAUGGAGCUGAAAUCAGUCGAAGAUACCAGCUGGCUGCAACUGUUUAUUAAAAACACAGCACUGUGCAAACACGAAAGUGGACGUAUACGGUGUGACGCCUGCCCGGUGCCGGAAGGUUAAUUGAUGGGGUCAGCGCAAGCGAAGCUCUUGAUCGAAGCCCCGGUAAACGGCGGCCGUAACUAUAACGGUCCUAAGGUAGCGAAAUUCCUUGUCGGGUAAGUUCCGACCUGCACGAAUGGCGUAAUGAUGGCCAGGCUGUCUCCACCCGAGACUCAGUGAAAUUGAACUCGCUGUGAAGAUGCAGUGUACCCGCGGCAAGACGGAAAGACCCCGUGAACCUUUACUAUAGCUUGACACUGAACAUUGAGCCUUGAUGUGUAGGAUAGGUGGGAGGCUUUGAAGUGUGGACGCCAGUCUGCAUGGAGCCGACCUUGAAAUACCACCCUUUAAUGUUU
rnacentral:rRNA from 1 species